GAUAGCCUUUUUUAUGAAUAGGACCCUCGUGCUCCAGAGGCGGAUCCAAAGGCAGUCGCUUACCUAGGUACUUCGGUGUAGCAUAUAUAGCUGCAUACCUUUUUCACUGUGUCAAAGCCUCUUUACUUUUGAAGAUUCGCCGCCCUUGAAGUCUUGUUGCCGUCGAAGGCUCUCGCCGUCGAAGGUUCUCGCCGUCCAAGGCUCGUCACCGGUGAAGGCUCACCGCCGUCGAAGGCUCGCUGCUGUGGAAGGCUUUGCCGCACUCUGCCGUCGCCGAACUGUCGAAGGUUCUACCACCAUCGGUCGAAGAUUCUGAGAACAGUUCUCCUGUGUAAAUAUGGAACCCUAAGCUACAAAUGUUUUUCCUGUGUUGUUCAAACAUUUUUGAAAUGCAUUUUCAGAUUUAUGUAAGGUUUUUUUCUUCCCCUUCUCCUCAUUUUGGUUCUGGGGUGCUCUAAAAAUUAAUCUGUGUUUCCUUGGUUUCUAGGUCAUUAAGGUUUGGGGCUGUGCUGCUUGCCUUCUUCUUUUCUUCGUCCACUCUCACAAAGUUUGGAGAGGAUAAGAAGCGAACACUAAGGAAGGUGGUCAAAGAAACUGGUGAGUUCUUUUUUGUCUGCCUAGAGGCUUUGAUUUUGAAUAUCUUUGUAAAAGGUCAAUUGGUUGUGUGUUUUUCUAGGUUAGGAAUGAUUGCUGCCCUAUUUGGAUGGAUUAUUCUGUGGAGUUACCCAUAUGAUAAGCCCCGUCUAAUCAUAACCUUCAAGGUCCUUAAUCUAGCCAAAUAACAUUAUCUGAUCCAUAUAUUAAUCCUCACCUACUGCCACAUUGUCUUGUUAUAAUUUAAUUGUUUGAGUUGCAUGGGAGUCAGUUUAAGUCCAAAAGUUUAAAGAAAUAUUUAUUCUUCCUUCAUAGCACUGAAAAGCUUUAAAGAAAUAUUUUAUAGGAAAAAGAAGUCUCAAGAUCAAUAUAUGGGAAAUUUUAAUGAUAUCUAACACUUCUCUUAAUUUCCAGGUGACUUUUAUGUAGCUUAAUUUCUAGUGAUCUGCUUGAUUUUUAUAAUGGACUGCCUUUAAAAUUUUAAGUGUAUGCUAAUACUGUUUGGGUUGUGAGAGCAUUGUAAGUGACAAUACUUUUGUAAAAGUUGUCGUGUGCAUGCAACAGAAACUCCUAUAAACAUAGAGGUAAUUGUUAACCAGUGUUGCUUUCGAGGAAUUAUCUGAAGGGAAUUGGUUUAUAUUUGGUUGUAGAUUAUAGUAAUUCCUUUUAUCCAAGUUCUAGUAAAAUAAUUCUGAAUAUGUACUUGGUGUGUUGAAUUUUGGUAGUUUUUCUUACUGUCACAUGUAAGUACUGCCUAUUAGGCGUGACUAUGUUCGUUGUUUCCUGUAUUUGAGCUUAACAUGUUGCUGUUGAAUUCAAUCUAUAUCAAUACCACUCAAAGGCAAUUUGAAUAGAGUCUAACAUCACUGUUGGACAAUCAUAGUUUUGGUUGCACCAAUCCACAUCAAUUGUUUUGUUCAAGUUUUGUCAGCGUAAUUAUCAAUUUACCUUUCCCCAAGAAAAAAAAAAGGC
rnacentral:lncRNA from 1 species